GUAGGUGGCAAGCGUUGUCCGGAAUUAUUGGGCGUAAAGCGCGCGCAGGCGGUCCUUUAAGUCUGAUGUGAAAGCCCACGGCUCAACCGUGGAGGGUCAUUGGAAACUGGGGGACUUGAGUACAGAAGAGGAAAGCGGAAUUCCAAGUGUAGCGGUGAAAUGCGUAGAGAUUUGGAGGAACACCAGUGGCGAAGGCGGCUUUCUGGUCUGUAACUGACGCUGAGGCGCGAAAGCGUGGGGAGCAAACAGGAUUAGAUACCCUGGUAGCCCACGCCGUAAACGAUGAGUGCUAAGUGUUAGGGGGUUUCCCGCCCCCCUUAGUGCUGCAGCUAACGCAUUAAGCACUCCGCCUGGGGAGUACGGCCGCAAGGCUG
rnacentral:rRNA from 1 species